UUUUUAUGAGAGUUUGAUCCUGGCUCAGGACGAACGCUGGCGGCGUGCCUAAUACAUGCAAGUCGUACGCUUCUUUUUCCACCGGAGCUUGCUCCACCGGAAAAAGAGGAGUGGCGAACGGGUGAGU
rnacentral:rRNA from 1 species